CUUGGUGAAUCAUAAUAACUUAACGAAUCGCAUGGCCUUGCGCCGGCGAUGGUUCAUUCAAAUUUCUGCCCUAUCAACUUUCGAUGGUAGGAUAGUGGCCUACCAUGGUGGCAACGGGUAACGGGGAAUUAGGGUUCGAUUCCGGAGAGGGAGCCUGAGAAACGGCUACCACAUCCAAGGAAGGCAGCAGGCGCGCAAAUUACCCAAUCCCGAUACGGGGAGGUAGUGACAAUAAAUACUGAUACGGGGCUCUUUCGGGUCUCGUAAUUGGAAUGAGAACAAUUUAAAUCCCUUAACGAGGAACAAUUGGAGGGCAAGUCUGGUGCCAGCAGCCGCGGUAAUUCCAGCUCCAAUAGCGUAUAUUAAAGUUGUUGCAGUUAAAAAGCUCGUAGUUGAACCUUGGGUCUGGCUGGCCGGUCCGCCUCACCGCGAGUACUGGUCCGGCUGGACCUUUCCUUCUGGGGAACCUCAUGGCCUUCACUGGCUGUGGGGGGAACCAGGACUUUUACUGUGAAAAAAUUAGAGUGUUCAAAGCAGGCCUUUGCUCGAAUACAUUAGCAUGGAAUAAUAUAAUAGGACGUGCGGUUCUAUUUUGUUGGUUUCUAGGACCGCCGUAAUGAUUAAUAGGGAUAGUCGGGGGCGUCAGUAUUCAUCUGUCAGAGGUGAAAUUCUUGGAUUUGCUGAAGACUAACUACUGCUAAAGCAUUCGCCAAGGAUGUUUUCAUUAAUCAUUGAUGGAAUCAUCCUUGGCAAACGCUUUACAAAUAUUAUCGCUUCACCAAUCAAAAACUUCACCUCUGAGGGACGAAACGGGAUUCUAUGAUGACCCGUUCGGCACCUUACGAGAAAUCAAAGUUUUUGGGUUCU
rnacentral:rRNA from 1 species